UCGUGCUAGACGGGGAGCUAGCGGUGCCCUGUACCCGUAACCCGCUAUAACGGGGUUGAACUCCCUCUCUCGGCGCGGUGAGCUGGUUGUGUACAGACGCGUGCUGCGUUGAUGGUUGGGUCCUGCGCGGCGCAGGCCUGUGAACCCCGUCAGGUCCGGGAGGAAGCAGCGGUAAGCAGACCCCUGUGGGUGACGUAGGGGCGCCUGGCCAGAGCAAGCUGGUCACCACAACUAGAUGUCUGCGACAACAGAGGGUGCACGA
rnacentral:SRP_RNA from 1 species